UGGGGAGGCACAGCCUUCCCUACCCGGCCUUCCAUACAGUUUCGCACCCCGAUGUGGCCCAUGGGCCAAAAAGUUUGCCCAUCCCUGUCCUAGUUGGUGUUCCUUACAUAGUAAAUCUAGGCUUCUCUAAGAAAUUUGGAUUCUGUGGUUUGUGGUUAGUUCCAGCAAUAGCUUUCACUGCUAAAGAACAGGCUGAGGAGAUAUCAUUAGUAAGUCGUGCUAUGGGUAGAAAAAAAAUUACAUCUGCCAUUGCUGCUGCCAAAGAUGGAUAAACACUACAGUUCAGGCUGCAACCUAGCUAUUUCUGAAGGUAAUCUUCGAGAACAAAUUUCCUAUUUUUAAUAUACUGUAUGUUCUGAAAAGACAGAUCUAUUUUUGUAGAAUGCAAAGAGAUGCUUGCCAUGGUAAAACAGUUCCAGAUUCCAUAAGUGUAGGAUAAAGAGAACAUGGUGUGCAGUGAAAAAAAUACUGUACCUAUUCUCCCAGCAUCCUUAAACUAGUCUAAACUUACGUUAUUGAAGCUAUUGCUUCAGUCAGAGAUUGGAAAGUGUAUUCAGUUAGUCCAAACAAAUCAAUCAGCCGAACCACAGCAAGCCUAAUAGACGUUGCGAUUAAAACUGUAAAAAACACGGAGUAGAAGUUAGUGAAAAAUCACCUUAGUGACCAGGAAGAACAUAAUCACUUGAGCUUUUGUUUGCCGUGGAAAUUUCCAAGUUAGAGGGAACAGUUACAUAACAGGGUACAGUGAAAAGUGAAUGUAAAAACAUAGAAGGGCAACGGGUCACAUAGCUCAGAGAGAACUAGAACAAAACUGAUUUAUUAAAACUGAAUUUUGCUAAACAUAACACAUCGUAGUGGUGGUGGUUCUUCACUUUGCUGAUUCAUAUCCUUUCCUGAAAGCUCGGCAAAAAAGAAAUAUGUAGUAUAUCGCUGAGAGUAUAUGCCGUAUGUUGUGGUUCUAAAAGUACAGAAUUGAGGCAUCAGUCAACAAAAAUGUAAGUUUAAUUCUAAUUUUUAUUUUGUCAGGGCUCAAGCGUUUAAAUCAAGAGGUCCUGGGUUCUGUUUCCUGCAGAUAACCCAAACUGGCAUUGUUACAUUUGUCUGUGCUGUCUCUAACCUCUAGAUCAUAGUUUGUUCCCAGAGCCAGGAACAGAACUCAGGAAUCCUGAUACCCAACAUUCUGAUGCUAGUUUACAAAAAAAAUGUCUCUCCGUAUGGGAUGUUUGUCACAGAGGAUAAAUUUGCAUGCUUCUUCCCUCCACCCCUUUCAUCCCUCAUUACUCAGAUAAGUACAGACCUCUUAUUUCACCUUGGUUAAGGGGAGCUGUCUUUUAAGAACAUGGUUUGCCAGACUGAGUGUAUUUGAGACUGAGAGCAAUGUUUGGGAGAUUUUGCCUGUGUUCACCGAGUGGUAAAUCCUGUCUGUGCAAACUCCAAAAAGCUCAGAACUUGUUUUAAUAAACGUACCUUUCCAGAAAACAGCCUUCACUCUUGAAGAUGUGUCCCUAGCACAUUUGGGGGGAUUGGAUGCCUUACGAGAUGCUAAUGAGCUUCAGAGCCUUUUGCCUAUAGGUCACCUCUCUGAAUUCAGCCAAAUUUGAUAGGUAUUAACAAUUAUUCCCAUCCAAUUGAUGACUGGUGGCCCCUGUAAAGGAUGUUUAGUGAGUCUCUGUUCCAGUUCCCACAUCAUAAACUCAUCACGUGCUUUGCAUUAGGUGGCAGACUCAGCAGAGAAGCCAAGAACCUCAUGAACCAUAGAGAUUGAAGGGCCCCAUUACCUUGUCAUAGAACAUGAGUGCCUGCCCUGUUGAGCACCCACUGUUGGCCAAGCAGGCACACUUCCUUUCACUCCUCAACUGGGGUUCAGAAAUAAUACGCUCUCCCUCUGGAGUCUUUAAGCGAUUUUCUCAUUCUCCUGGGGUUUAGCUUCCCCCAAAGCACUCAGCUCCCUUUUAGGACUAGGGGUCUUCUCAGCCCUCCUUCUUUGGUGUGUGUGUUCUGUUUUUGUUUGUUUGUGUUUCAGUCCUGGCUUCCAUGAUCUGUAGGCUCUCCUCAGAUCCAGUGAUCAUCCCACUCUCCUCCUGAGACUGGAGAUUCUGGUCUUGACACAGAGAUUCUCCCCUCCGGUUCAGGGGUUUUCGUUCUAGGGACUCACGCUGUUCCUUACUUGGCACAGGUCCCCUUGUUGGCUGUGCUUGUUACCUCAGGCCAGUUGUGGCUUUCAACAAGCUUCUCCCCUUCAGCUGGUACCUGUCUCCUCCCCAGGCUCAAAGGGUUCAGCACGCAGCCUUCUGUUUGGUGUGUUUCUGAUCUGAGGGAAGAGGCAGCAUAUAUACAGCCAUCUUUUCUAGAGCUGAUUCUGAUUGGAUGGCAGGGAGGACAGCCUGGCCCCACUCUCUGUACAAGGCUCCUUGUCCCGGGCCAUGAAAGGAAUAGAAACACAGGGUUUCCUCAAACACAGCCUAUUCCCCCAGGUCCGCUUCCUCUCUCCUCAUAUCUGCCUUUGUCAUUUUCCUUGACCCUUGGAUACCAGACCUUAAAGGGAAGCCACACCAUGAGAUAGAUGAGAUGACCCUUCAGUCCUACUGCCCUCUAGGGGACAGACCCCCUGUCAUAUGCCCAUAGAGGAAGUUUCCCUCAGAUUAGGGUUGAGACAUGCUGGCAGGGCAGUUUGUAUGCAAAGCUUACCCUGCUGUAGAUACAGAACUUCAUUCAGUAAGGCUGCCUUUCAACAGCAUGAAAUCCACACAGUUUUUAAAGACUGAGCUUGUGUUUAUUUGCAAAUGUAUUGCAGAUUUGCACAAAAUGUAUUGUGGAGCUGCAUGAAACUCCGCAGCUAUGAAACAUGAUCUGGCUGGCCAGCCUGAAUGAGGCCAAACUGUGCUGCAACCUCAUUAACGAAAUGUGUUCUAGCCCAGUGUUUCUCAACUUUUUUGACACCAGGGACUGGCUUGCUGCCUUCCUAAACUGUGUCAAGGAAUACUCAGGGACCAGCACCCAUCCAUGGACACGUCUUUGAGACUGUUCUAGUGUAGGUCACUAACUAGGCUUAGAGCCCGGUUAUUCUAUUAUAGUUUGGCCCCAUCCAUGCUUACCAAAUGGAGAAUUAACCUUGCUGUGGUUAAACUGGAUUUUAACUGUCAUAUAGUUAUAAAGCCUGGGAAGGUAGAUCUUAAGUGUCUGAAGUAGAACCACAUUUAUAGACACAGUCUUUAGGUGAUCAGUGUAGACAGGGUCAAAGCAAAAUAGAACAGAUGGAUUAAACAACCAAAUCUUUAUCACAGUUCCUGUGGCUAAUGUGCAGCAACAGCUACAGCAUAUGGCACUUCCUGUUGGGUAACUACCUGCUUGCUCAUUGAAGAUAUAGUACUUACACGCAGAUUGUGUAUGUUGAGUGCUGCAUUUCCAGCUCUUGAGAGGCCAGAAAGCCUCUUUCUGAUGUUAGGCAACCUCCACUACAGGGAUAUGUUAUUCAUUAGUCAUGUUUGGAGAUUAAUAAACUUUAUACAUCAAAAAUUUCAUUCAUAAAACUGUGAAUGGUGAGGGUUUUUUAGUUUGUAAAAUAACUUAUCUCUGGAAUGCACAAAUAUUAAAGGGCUGGGGGAUCUAAAGCUUAACUUACCAAAAAAAAAAAAAAAAGUUCCGCCUGAUUCCGCAACACAAAGAAUUCGAAAUUUUCUCUACUGGCUAGCCUGUGUACAGCAAACCCAAGACGUUGGUUUUCUUUGUGAUUUUGUUAGUUUGUGCUCUGUCACGUUCUGUCAGCAUUCUCCAUUCUUGGGAGCAGUCAAGGUAUCUAAAUUUACAAGAAACUGUUUCGUAGACAGCUCAACAAAGAAGCAUUGUUGCAAAUGUGAAUGCCUUUCACAUGGCUGAUCAGGCAUCCUGGUAUUACAGGGAUGGCCUGGCUAAAUAUAUCAAAACAGCAUCUUACCAGCUGACCAACCUUCCCCCACCCUGGUAAUAUGCCACUCCACUGCUAAGAAGAGUUUGGUGGCCCAGCUGGGCCCUGGUACACUAGAUUCCUAAAUGACACCAUGCUGGAGUCCAAUACAAAAAUAACGGGGCCUGUGUAUGGGUGUGAUUCUCCUCACCCUGUGUAAAUAUUAAGGAAGGUUCUGUCCUUCUUAAUUUAUAAAAUCUAGAAAUUAUAGAAAAUAUUUUGGGAGAAGCUAGGCUCCUUUUAGGGGGAGGGAAUUAGUAUUGUAGAAAAUAUGAUCAUUUUCUUAUAGAUACUGUACUGUAACAAUGAAGUGAGUAUCUUUAAAUGUCUACUUCUCUUCUGCUUUAUAGGUCAUGUUUUCAGCAGGUGGCUGUUGGAAUUAGCACAGGAAAUUUUUAUGCUUAUUUUUAGUAUCCUGCAUCUGCAGGUGCAGUUGUCUCAUUUGUAUGUGCAAAUGCAGUGAUUUUACAAUUAUACCUUUGCAGGCUGGCCUUUGCCUCCUCUUGCUGAAAAUGUGGACCAAUAACUAGGUCAGGAAAUGUAACUUGCCACUGAAAGAGAAAACAGAAUGUGAUACCAAGUAGCAAAAGGGAGGGCUUUUCAAGUUAGGUUAUCUUAACAUUUACCUCUUUUGCAUGGUACAGAAGGAGCCAUGGGCCACUGAAGUUAAUGUAAAGACUCCCAUUGAUUUUAAUGGGCUUUGGGUGAGACUCCAAGUAAAUGGCUUUUCCAGGCAAUUUGUAGUAAGCUAAAAACUGAAAGCACUAUAAACUGAGCACUUGAGUUCCCAUCACCAGGGAUUUCAGUCAUAGAAGUCAGCUGAGCAUACUUU